UUCGGGUUUUUAUAAAAUGUUUAUCAUUAUUUAACAAAGAUGAUUAUUAAAAAUGAAACAAUCAUAGGUAUGUUUCUUAGUUUUCUAAAUAGGUGACAGAAAACAAUAUGUAAAACUUAAAGACUACAUGCAAUAUGACAAUGUUGUUGACGAGGAGUAACAUCCCUUUCAUGAUCCCAUUUCUACAGAGAGUGACUUGUGUAUUCUGAUCUGAUGUGUGUAUUCAUGAUCCCAUUACUACAGAGAGUGACUUGUGUAUCCUGAUCUGAUGUGUGUAUUCAUGAUCCCAUUACUACAGAGAGUGACUUGUGUAUUCUGAUCUGAUGUGUGUAUUCAUGAUCCCAUUACUACAGAGAGUGACUUGUGUAUCCUGAUCUGAUCUGAUGUGUGUAUUCAUGAUCCCAUUACUACAGAGAGUGACUUGUGUAUCCUGAUCUGAUGUGUGUAUUCUGAUGAAGACCAAUCAUCAACAGUGGCUGGAGGGUUUAUGUUUUUUGAUAAACAUGAAAAACUGAUACACACUUAACUAGUUUUCCCCAGUCUGGUUAUUGCUGUACACCUACAGUACAACCAACCAAACACAUAGAACACAUUGAAAUGUGUUAAAUAAAAUACCUUGGAAAACAAAUUAUAACAACUGUUUUUUCACUGGAUUUUUUUGUUCUGCUUUGAAAAGCAAAAACAUACCUGCCAUGGAGAAGCCGUAAGACUGCUUAUACUUAUUAUAUUAUACUAUCAUAUGUCACGAUUGAGUGACAUUGAACCGAGACAGUUUUAUUUUCACUAAGUAUACAAAACAUGAAGAACACCUGCUCUUUCCAUGACAAACUACCCCAGGUGAAUCCAGGUGAAAGCUAUGAUCCCCGAUUGAUGUCACUUGUAAAAUGUAGACGAGGAGGAGACGGGUUAAAGAAGGAUUUUUAAGCCUUGAGAAAAUUGAGACAGGUUAUUGUUGCCAUUCAGAGGGUGAAUGGGCAAGACAACAUAUUGAAGUGCCUUUGAACAUGGGUAUGGUAGUAGAUGCCAGGCACACCAGCUUGUCAAGAACUGCAACGCUGCUGGGUUUUUCACGCAACAGUGUCCCCGUGUGUAUCAAAAAUGGACCACCACCCAAAAGGACAUCCAGUCAACUUGACACAAAUGCGGGAAGCAUUGGAGUCAACAUAGGCCAGCAUCCCUGUGGAAGGCUUUCGACACCUUGUAGAGUCAACAUAGGCCAGCAUCCCUGUGGAAGGCUUUCGACACCUUGUAGAGUCAACAUAGGCCAGCAUCCCUGUGGAAGGCUUUCUACACCUUGUAGAGUCAACAUACGCCAGCAUCCCUGUGGAACGCUUUGACACCUUGUAGAGUCCCUGCCCCGACGAAUUGAGGCUGUUCUGAGGGCAAAAGGGGGUACAAAGCCAUGUUCGGAAGGUGUUCUUAAUGUUUGGUAUACUCAGUGUAUAUCUCAGCCAAAUCUUCCAUAGUUUGCUACUGAGUGUUCGCCAGUAGGAUGUGUAGAGAGGGAAGACUACGUUUCAAAUGACACCCAAUUCCUCAUAAAGCCUGAAAUCCAGAACUUGUUUUGUGCCCAAAUUAAUAAAUUGGCAUGACAAGGAGUGUUAAGGAGAGGAAUGUUAGCUCAAAACUGACUGGAUUUCUCCAGGAUAAUUCCCCACAUGGCUCUGGUCUAAAGUAGUGCACUAUGUAGGGAAUAGGGUGCCAUAGGGCUCUGGUCUAAAGUAGUGCACUAUAUAGGGAAUAGGGUGCCAUAGGGCUCUGGUCUAAAGUAGUGCACUAUAUAGGGAAUAGGGUGCCAUAGGGCUCUGGUCUAAAGUAGUGCACUAUGUAGGGAAUAGGGUGCCAUAGGGCUCUGGUCUAAAGUAGGGCACUAUAUAGGGAAUAGGGUGCCAUAGGGCUCUGGUCUAAAGUAGGGCACUAUAUAGGGAAUAGGGUGCCACAGGGCUCUGGUCAAAAGUAGGGCACGAUAAAGGGCACUAUAAAUGGGUGUCAUUUGGGACGUAUCCAUGCAGUCAUAUCCUCACAAAAGAGCUGCAAGACUGUAUUGAGCUGCUAGCCAAUCACUGAACAGUAAAAGUGACCAGGAACUGACUACUGCUGAAUGGCUAUUGGCUUCUGUGCAUGAUACACACACACACCCUCAGAGUCACAUAUAUUUAAAAGAGAAAAUGAUAAAAAGUAUAUAUUUCAUUAAAAAAAAAAAAAAUUAAGGCCAAAUAUAUGCAAUGUUUUUACAUAAUAUAUGGCAUAUAAUGCGUACACUACACAGAAAAUAUUUGUUAAUAAAUGUAUUGUUCCAGAACAUUAUGCUAUAUAUACCAUUUCUAUUUACAUAAAUAAAGUAAACACAGUACAGAUUUAAUAUGCAUAUGGCAGAACCUAAACUGCAGUUAUAAAACACAUUAUUCACCAUCAUUCCCUAAUGCUUUAUCCAUAUACUGUAUCUUACAGGGCUGUAAUGAUAAGUAACUCAAUUCUACUCAACCACCUACAGGUAUAUUGCUUUUUUAUGAAAAUAAAUGACAGAGUAAAUUGUGCACAGUAGUCAGUGGCCAUCCAGCCCGUGGGUUAUAUAUAUAUAUAUAUAUAUAUAUAUAUAUAUUACUCCAGACUGAACCCAUAGUGAAACCAUAGAGUUAGAUAGAUGACUCAUCUCUGUAUCUGUGUCAUUCCGGGUUAUAUCUAUCAAGAGUUCUCUAACUCUAUGGGUGAAACGCAGCAUAUAUGAGGUUGGAAACAGGCUAAAUAAACAAACAUAAAUCAAUGUGAAGUAUCUGUCAUAGUAUGAAUGAAUGUAAAAGAUGCAAAAAUGAAACAUAAGAAUAGGAAGCAUAGAAGUAGUGCACAUAGAACAGAUCUACCGCGUCUUAGACUUGCUUUCAAUGAUAGUGAUAGAUCUAUUACUCACAUUUCUAUGUGAAUUUGGUCAGGUCGCCCAAAAAGUGACAUAUUGCAGAUUUUAUAUAUAUAUAUUUUUUUUUAAACGUCUCACCGCAUUCUGUGAGUUUAAAAAAAUAUAUUUUAUUCCUGAAUUCCUGAACUGACCCAGGCAGAAACACAGAGGAGGCAGGAACACAGAGAGGCAGGAACACAGAGAGGCAGGAACACAGAGGAGGCAGGAACACAGAGGAGGCAGGAACACAGAGGAGGCAGGAACACAGAGGAGGCAGGAACACAGAGGAGGCAGGAACACAGAGGAGGCAGGAACACAGAGAGGCAGGAACACAGAGAGGCAGGAACACAGAGUGGCAGGAACACAGAGAGGCAGGAACACAGAGUGAUAAAACCGUGUAGAUUAAAGUUGAGAGCCACUCUUAACGUUCUUGCUAUUGAGGACUAUAGAACAAUGUGCCGACAAAACACAGUAUUGUAACUGUUUAGUCUACUCUACGGCUGGCUGCUCAGCCUAGUUUUCCUGAGUGACUCUUGACACACUUUAAUAGCAUACCAACACACAACGUUCAACUGGAUUAUACAACAUGUUUACCAAUAAAAGGUAAUUAUAAAUGGCACCCUAUGAGAGAAUCCUGUUCAUUUACUACAGCUCUGCGUUCAACACCAUUGUCCCCUCCAAGCACUUUCCUCUGUAACUUGAUCUGGGACUUCCUGACGAGCCGAUCCCAGGUGGUGAGUGUAGGCAACAUCAUCUCCGCUAUGCUGACUCUCAACAUGGGGGGGGCCACAGGGGUGUGUGCUUAGUCCCCUCCUGUACUCCCUGUUCACCCACGACUGCGUGGCCACGCACGACUCCAACAAUGAGUCAGCCUACAGGGAGGUCAGAGCAAUGUGGUGCCGGAAACAACAACCUCUCCCUGAAUGUCAGUAAGACCAAGGAGCUGAUCGUGGACUACAGGAAACAAGAACGCCCCAUCCACAUCGACGGGGAACCAGAACGCCCUCAUCCACACCGACAGGGAACAAGAACGCCCUCAUCCGCAUCGACGGGGAACAAGAACGCCCUCAUCCACAUCGACGGGGAACAAGAACGCCCUCAUCCACAUCGACGGGGCUGCAGUGGAGCAGGUAGUCAAGCUUCAUAUUCCUCGGUAUCUAAAUCACAAAAAAUACUUAAAAUGGUCCAAAACACACGCAGUCAUGAAGAAGGCGCGACAGUGCCUGCGACAGUGGCAAUAUCACCGCCCUCGAUCGCAUGGCACUACAGAGGGUGGUGAGGACAGCCCAGUACAUCACUGGGGCCCAGCUCCCUGACAUCCAAGACCUCUACAUCAGAGGGUGGUGAGGACAGCCCAGUACAUCACUGGGACUAAGCUCCCUGCCAUCCAGGAUCUCUAUAUCAGAGGGUGGUGAGGACAGCCCAGUACAUCACUAGGACUAAGCUCCCUGCCAUCCAGGAUCUCUAUAUCAGAGGGUGGUGAGGACAGCCCAGUACAUCACUGGGACUAAGCUCCCUGCCAUCCAUGACCUCUAUAUCAGAGGGUGGUGAGGACAGCCCAGUACAUCACUGGGGCCCAGCUCUCUGCCAUCCAGGACCUCUAUAUCAGAGGGUGGUGAGGACAGCCCAGUACAUCACUGGGGCCCAGCUCUCUGCCAUCCCAUCCAGGACCUCUACAUCAGACGGUUUGUCGUCAAAGACCUCAACCAUCCAAGCCACAGACUAUUUUCUCUGCCGCCGCGGUGCAUCAGGUCUGACAACAGGCUCUUGAACAGCUUCUAUCCCCAAGCAAUACGACUGAUAAAUAGCAACACUAAAUAGCUACACGGAUUGAGUUUACCCUUUUAUUUCAGUCUCUAUGCACAAUGUCACAGGGCCCUGUUUAGUCUACACACUGUCACUCCAACACAUAAUAUACAUGUAUAGUGACUCAACACACCCGCACUCACAUACAAGCUGCCACUACUCUGUUUAUCAUAUAUCCUGUUGCCUAGUCUCCUUCCCCCUAUACAUAUCUACCUCCAUCACUCCAGUAUCCCUGUCUCCUUCCCCCUAUACAUAUCUACCUCCAUCACUCUAGUAUCCCUGUCUCCUUCUCCCUAUACAUAUCUACCUCCAUCACUCCAGUAUCCCUGUCUCCUUCCCCCUAUACAUAUCUACCUCCAUCACUCCAGUAUCCCUGUCUCCUUCCCCC
ensembl:lncRNA